CCAAAGCCUUAGUUGAUUUGACAGCUAGGACUGGGGACACCUGAGUCUCCUUUCACAUUUCAGGGAAAUCUUGAAAGAACCCCGCCAUGUGAGAACCUUGAGAAGAGGCAAGAGGCCCAUGGUCCAGGGUCAGCAGGAGGACCCUGCCCCACAGGUCCAGCCAUCACCUUCUGCUGCAUUGGGUUGCCUUAACAGUUGACUGGUCCUUCCACCCGGUCCUUCCAGUCUUCUCCUCCAGGGGGCAGGCCUGACUCUUCAAGAGGCCCCAUCCCCCCCAAGGACAGAUUCAGCACCUGCCCAUACCUGACACGCAGGUAACUAAGCCCAGAGCCAGAGCAGAAGCAGGAGCAAGUGAGAGGCAGCAGCCACAGAAAGGGACUACAUACCCCAUUCCCUGGCCUCUCCUGGGGCUAUCACUGGAGCCACAGAGAUUCCCAGAUGUGGUCGGCCUGCAGGCUCCAGUGGUCAUCAUCCCAGUAUUGCUGUCCUCUUCCACACUGAUUAUGGUUGGCUGCAUCGUAUGGAAGACAUGCAGGAGGUGGAGGACAACUGGCCAGUGCCCACCGCCCCAGUGACCGCUUUGUUGCAGGUGCCUGAGGAGAAAGUGUGGUGUUUUCCUGGAACCAUCUGCUCACUUCCCACCCAACUUGGGCCUAUCUACCACCAUCAACAUAUCAUGGCAGCGACACUCCCUUCUAUUUGAACCAACGACCCAAAUAUGAACCUGCAGGUAGAGACACAGACCUGAUAAUUCAAUAGCUGUCACCAUCUUCAUUUUCUACCUGGAAUGGUCAAGGCAAAAAAGUUAUAAAUAGCAGCCUAAAGGAUUGUUUUUCAUCCAUUCAUUCAACAAAUAUAUGCUGAGCAAGAUGAUCCAUAUACUUUUUCAUAAAACCCUCACCUUCCACCUUGGAAUCAGUACUGUGUAUUGGCUCCAAGGCAGAAGAGUGGUAAGGGCAAAGUAAGUAGCAAUGGGGGUCAAGAGACUUCCCAGGGUCACACAGCUGGGAAGUGUCUGAGGCCAGAUUUGAACCCAGGACCUCCUGUCUCGAGGCCAGGCUCUUAAUCCACUGGGCUACCCAGCUGCCCCUGGGCCAUAGACUUCUAUAUAGUAGGCUUUCAGCAAAUGUUUAUUGAGUUCAUGAAGGAUGUUAAACCAGAUUCUGAGUUUUUCCAUUACCAUCCAACACUCACAUGGCUCUCCAUCUUCUCUGCAUUUUUCCCCCUAGAGCAGUGUUGGUGGACCUAUGGGAUGUGUGCCAGAAGGGGCUGCUUCCUUACCCCUUUCCAAAUGUGCCUGAAG
rnacentral:lncRNA from 1 species